rnacentral:rRNA from 1 species
CUGCAAGGUGCUGCAUGGUUGUCGUCAGCUCGUGCCGUGAGGUGUCGGGUUAAGUCCCAUAACGAGCGCAACCCUUAUCCGUUAGUUGCCAUCUGGUAAUGCAGGGGACUCUAGCGAAACUGCCACCGUAAGGUGAGAGGAAGUGGGGAUGACGUCAAAUCAGCACGGCCCUUAUGUCCAGGGCUACACACGUGUUACAAUGGUCGGUACAGAGGGCAGCUACCUGGUGACAGGAUGCUAAUCUCGAAAACCGGUCUCAGUUCGGAUCGAAGUCUGCAACUCGACUUCGUGAAGCUGGAUUCGCUAGUAAUCGCGCAUCAGCUAUGGCGCGGUGAAUACGUUCCCGGGCCUU